UACAGAGGGGGCAAGCGUUAUUCGGAAUUAUUGGGCGUAAAGGGCGCGUAGGCGGCCUGGCAAGUGACGGGUGAAAGCCCUCGGCUCAACCGAGGAACUGCCUGUCAUACUGCCGGGCUUGAGUCCGGGAGAGGUGAGUGGAAUUCCCAGUGUAGCGGUGAAAUGCGUAGAUAUUGGGGAGGAACACCAGUGGCGAAGGCGGCUCACUGGACCGGAACUGACGCUGAGGCGCGAAAGCGUGGGGAGCAAACAGGG
rnacentral:rRNA from 1 species